UACGGAGGGUGCGAGCGUUGUCCGGAAUCACUGGGCGUAAAGGGCGCGUAGGCGGCUGUGUAAGUCACUUGUGAAAUCCCGGGGCUCAACUCCGGGGCUGCAGGUGAGACUGCAUGGCUAGAGCACGGUAGAGGCAAGUGGAAUUCCCGGUGUAGCGGUUGAAUGCGUAGAUAUCGGGAAGAACACCGGUGGCGAAGGCGGCUUGCUGGGCCGUUGCUGACGCUGAUGCGCGAAAGCGUGGGGAGCGAUCCGG
rnacentral:rRNA from 1 species